rnacentral:tRNA from 1 species
GGUCCCAUCGUCUAGUGGUCCAGGACACUGGCCUCUCACGCCGGUAACACGGGUUCGAAUCCCGUUGGGACCACCA